rfam:Alpha proteobacterium AAP38 AAP38_Contigs_8, whole genome shotgun sequence.
GCGACCAUCCGGGCCCCUCUGGCAGCCAAGGCGUUGGCUGCGAUGUCGGAUAGAACCC